AGCUCUGUGCAGUGGCAUUAUUGUAGCCAAUGAGGCUUAUCCAUGGCAUGAUUAUUGCUAAUUGAAAACUACAGACUUGAUCCGAGUAGGGGAAGAAUGUUUCAUAAAUGCUGUUUCAU
rnacentral:snRNA from 3 species